AACGAACGCUGGCGGCGCGCCUAAUACAUGCAAGUCGAGCGAGAAGACGUAGCAAUACGUUUGUAAAGCGGCGAACGGGUGAGGAAUACAUGGGUAACCUACCCUCGAGUGGGGAAUAACUAGCCGAAAGGUUAGCUAAUACCGCGUACGCUUCUUGGACUUCGGUUCAGGGAGGAAAGCGAUACCGUGGGUAGCGCGCUCUUGGAUGGGCUCAUGUCCUAUCAGCUUGUUGGUGAGGUAACGGCUCACCAAGGCUUCGACGGGUAGCUGGUCUGAGAGGACGAUCAGCCACACUGGCACUGCGACACGGGCCAGACUCCUACGGGAGGCAGCAGUAAGGAAUAUUGCGCAAUGGGCGAAAGCCUGACGCAGCGACGCCGCGUGGGGGAUGAAGGUCUUCGGAUUGUAAACCCCUUUCGGGAGGGAAGAUGGAACGAGCAAUCGUUCGGACGGUACCUCCAGAAGCAGCCACGGCUAACUUCGUGCCAGCCGCCGCGGUAAAAC
rnacentral:rRNA from 1 species